rnacentral:rRNA from 1 species
UACGUAGGUGGCGAGCGUUGUCCGGAUUUACUGGGCGUAAAGGGAGCGUAGGCGGACUUUUAAGUGAGAUGUGAAAUACUCGGGCUCAACUUGAGUGCUGCAUUUCAAACUGGAAGUCUAGAGUGCAGGAGAGGAGAAUGGAAUUCCUAAUGUAGCGGUGAAACGCGUAGAGAUUAGGAAGAACACCAGUGGCGAAGGCGAUUCUCUGGACUGUAACUGACGCUGAGGCUCGAAAGCGUGGGGAGCAAACAGG